rnacentral:rRNA from 1 species
GACGAACGCUGGCGGCGUGCCUAACACAUGCCAGUUGAGCGAUGAAGAUUUGUGCUUGCACCAUUUUGGAGUGCCGCAAACGUGUGAGUCACGCGUGGGGCCUCCGCCUUUGAGCGGGGGACCACCUUUGGACACGAAUGCUAAUCCGGCAUAACCUCUUUCAGCAUGGUUUUUAUGUUUAAAAUAUGCAAUUUCAUCACUCACAGAUGAUCCCGCGGUGUAUUAGCUAGUUGGUGAGGUACAGGCGCACCAAGGCGAUGAUACAGAGCCGACCUGAGAGGGUGAGCGGCCAGAUUGAGACUGAGACACGGCACAAAGUGCCACGGGAGGGAGCAGUAGGGAAUCGUGGGCAAGGGACGAAAGUUAGAGCGAGAAAGGCCGCGUGAGGGAAGAAGGUCUUCGGAUCGGAAAACACUGUUGGUAGAGAAGAACGCGGGUGAGAGUGGAAAGCUCAGCAAGUGACGGUAACGACCCAGAAAGGGACGGCUAACUACGUG